rnacentral:lncRNA from 1 species
AUGAUCUUAAGGAUAGAAGUUUGUACAAACCAGGGUUUACUGCUUAUGAGAAUUGUAGAAAAUUCCCAAUAAUUGGCAUUAGAGCCUUGCUUGAGAAUUCAUGAUUUUCCAUUAAAGAAUUUUAUAACUUCUCUCUCUUAAUUUCUGGGUAUAAUCUUUGAUUUAACAAAAUUAACGUUUUUUAUGCAGAUGAACAGGAAUAUGAUAGUACCGUGAAUAGGAAAUAUAAAUAGUAUCUAUGAACAGUAAUUAUAAACAAUUCCGUAAACAGUACUCGUGAUUGCUAUAUAUAAUUAAUCAUGAAAUUGUGAGCUUUGCAUGUUAUUGUAUCGUGUCACAGAUAAGUAUGUUCAUAUUCGGUGAUUAUAAAUUCAAUGAAAACUGUUGAUAAUUGUCCAUGGAGUCAUGGACUAUGAAAAGCAUACAGUAAGUACAUGGGCUCAUGAAUCUCACGGGAAUGGCUUGAUGCAUUGAUUGACUUUAUGUGAUUUUUGUGAUGUGCGCAUAUAUAUUUGAAUUCUUAUAUAUACAUGCAAUAUUAAUGAACUAAAAGCAAAUUCUUGAAUAUAUAAAUAUUGUUGUAAGUAUUUAUAUUCUAUUAUUGUUUCAACAUUCGUUAUUAUUUAAUUUUUAUGUCUAUAUCAUAUAUAAUUUGUUAGCCACCAAAAUGGCCAGAUUAGAAAGUUUUUCAUAAAUGUCAAAUUAAAUUUAGUUUAAAGUACUCAUAAUCACUGUGAUGCUUAUGAAUGAAUGACGUGAUGAUUUUCUUGUAUAGGUAUAUUGAAAUUCAUACAUUAUAAAAUAUUGGGAAAUUAUCAGCCAUAUACCCUUAAAUGACACCCGUAUCAAACGUGUGUGAACACUUUUCAAGUGUAUCACUCGUAUACCCUAAGUUGACAAAACACUUCGGCCGUCCACCAAUCCGUUAACUUCCAUUAGAAAGUUAACAUAAUUGUGGCAAAUUAACUAUUUCGCCCUUAAAAC